CCAAAAAAAAAAAAAAAAGAAACCUCUACUUAUGAUGGUCCACUCAAACAAAGAACAUAAUCAGAGUCAGACAUCACCGAGUCUAAACUGCUGAACUCAUACUCAUUAGAAGACAUUGUUUAUGAAAAUCACAAGAAACGAAGAAAGCGAAAGCAUGUUAGUCCAUAAUUUGCAAUCACCUUAGAAGAACUGGUGCCAUUUUUAGGGCUUAGGGCUCAAUUUCACAAGUAUUUUAUACAAAGCAACAUCAAAUUUGCUGAAAACUUUUAGCAGGGUCUACGGGGGUGAGGGG
rnacentral:misc_RNA from 1 species